UCCCCCUUUUUCUAAUAUUAUGAAAUGAAUGAGGCUGUUAACUGUCAAGUUAUUGUUUCGAUUCCACUCUCAUCUAAUAUGACUAAAUAUAUAUUAUUCAUGAUAAUAGAUGAGCAUUGUGACUUUCCAUCUUUUCAUCCCAUGGAAAAUUUAAUCAAGUCUGUAUGAGCUACCAAGGCCUCGUGGUAUAACCCCCUGUUAAGGAGAAACUAUUGCACGCCCUGCAUGC
rnacentral:lncRNA from 1 species